rnacentral:rRNA from 1 species
ACUCAAAUGAAUUGACGGGGGCCCGCACAAGCGGUGGAACAUGUGGUUCAAUUCGAUGCUACGCGAAGAACCUUACCUGGACUUGACAUCCCGUGCUACCCGAUGAAAGUCGGGGUUCCCUUCGGGGACGCGGAGACAGGUGCUGCAUGGCUGUCGUCAGCUCGUGUUGUGAGAUGUUGGGUUAAGUCCCGCAACGAGCGCAACCCUCGCCCUUAGUUACCAUCAUUAAGUUGGGCACUCUAAGGGGACCGCUUGGCUAUAAGCCAGAGGAAGGUGGGGAUGACGUCAAGUCCUCAUGGCCUUUAUGUCCAGGGCAACACACGUGUUACAAUGGAGACUACAAAGCGCAGCAAGCCGGCGACGGCAAGCAAAUCGCAAAAAAGUAUCCUCAGUACGGAUUGGAGUCUGCAACUCGACUCCAUGAAGCUGGAAUCGCUAGUAAUCGUCGAUCAGCACGCGACGGUGAAUACGUUCCCGGGCCUUGCACACACCGCCCGU